CAAUGCUUCGGCAGUGCAACGC
rnacentral:miRNA from 1 species